rnacentral:tRNA from 1 species
GGGCCCUUGGCGCAGCGGUUAGCGCAGCGGACUCAUAAUCCGUUGGUCCCAGGUUCGAAUCCUGGAGGGCCCACCA